rnacentral:rRNA from 1 species
GAAUCUGCCUGGUAGUGGGGGAUAACGUCCGGAAACGGACGCUAAUACCGCAUACGUCCUACGGGAGAAAGCAGGGGACCUUCGGGCCUUGCGCUAUCAGAUGAGCCUAGGUCGGAUUAGCUAGUUGGUGGGGUAAUGGCUCACCAAGGCGACGAUCCGUAACUGGUCUGAGAGGAUGAUCAGUCACACUGGAACUGAGACACGGUCCAGACUCCUACGGGAGGCAGCAGUGGGGAAUAUUGGACAAUGGGCGAAAGCCUGAUCCAGCCAUGCCGCGUGUGUGAAGAAGGUCUUCGGAUUGUAAAGCACUUUAAGUUGGGAGGAAGGGCAGUAAAUUAAUACUUUGCUGUUUUGACGUUACCGACAGAAUAAGCACCGGCUAACUCUGUGCCAGCAGCCGCGGUAAUACAGAGGGUGCAAGCGUUAAUCGGAAUUACUGGGCGUAAAGCGCGCGUAGGUGGUUCGUUAAGUUGGAUGUGAAAUCCCCGGGCUCAACCUGGGAACUGCAUUCAAAACUGACGAGCUAGAGUAUGGUAGAGGGUGGUGGAAUUUCCUGUGUAGCGGUGAAAUGCGUAGAUAUA